rnacentral:rRNA from 1 species
GAUGAACGCUGGCGGCGUGCCUAAUACAUGCAAGUCGAACGAACAGGCGAGGAUCUUGCUCCUCUGGCGUGACGGACGGACGGGCGAGUAACCCGUAGGUAACCUGCCUAUGAGAAUGGGAUAACGUCGGGAAACCUGAGCUAAUACCGGAUAAUAUGUGGAACCGCAUGGUUCAUAAGUGAAAGACGUUUUUGCUCGCCCGUAAAGAGGUUUCCGUGUCGCUUUGGCUAGUGGGUAAGGUAACGGCGUACCAAGGCAACGAUCCGUAGCCGACCUGAGAGGGUGACCAGCCACACUGGAACUGAGACACGGCCCAGACUCCUACGGGAGGCAGCAGUGGGGAAUUUUGGGCAAUGGGGGAAACCCUGACGCAGCAACCCCGCGUGAGCGAUGAAGGUCUUCGGGUUGUAAAACUCUUUUAUCAGGAAAGAAAAGAUGUGUACUUAAAUAUGCACGUAUUGACGGUACCUGAACAGAAAGCCACGGCUAACUACGUG